AGUUUUCCUACAGUUGGCUUCCCUUAAUUGUUUUUCAAAAAGGAUAUGUAGUAAACUUAUGAAAGACGUAUCUAGAUCGGCUGUUCGCAAGUACGUGAGGACGCAGAGUAAAUUGAAAACUGCCUUGUAUAUGUGCAGCACUACGCCACUGGCAAUUUUGUUAGCAACGUUGUCCAUUUGGUUCGUCGAGGAGGCUUUUUUAUUUUGUUAUUGCUUUCCUCUGUCAGAUUUUUUUUUUAUUGUUGAUAUUACUGGUGAUCGUCCCGC